GGUUGAUCUCGGAUCAGGUAGGGAUACCCGCUGAACUUAAGCAUAUCAAUAAGCGGAGGAAAAGAAACCAACAGGGAUUGCCCUAGUAACGGCGAGUGAAGCGGCAAGAGCUCAAAUUUGAAAGCUGGCCCCCUCGGGGUCCGCGUUGUAAUUUGCAGAGGAUGCUUCGGGAGCGGCCCCCGUCUAAGUGCCCUGGAACGGGCCGUCAUAGAGGGUGAGAAUCCCGUAU
rnacentral:rRNA from 1 species